UACGUAGGGGGCGAGCGUUGUCCGGAGUACUGGGCGUAAAGCGCGCGCAGGCGGCCGUGUAAGUUUGCACUGACAGCUCCUGGCUUAACCGGGAGAGGCGUGUGAAAACUGCAUGACUUGAGGGCCUCAGAGGGACAUGGAAUUCCAGGUGGAGCGGUGAAAUGCGUAGAGAGUCUGGAGGAACACCAAAGGCGAAGGCAGUGUCCUGGGAG
rnacentral:rRNA from 1 species